AUAUUUAUACAGCAACAAUAUUUCGAGUAUUGAGCAAGGAAGCUUCAAGGAUCUUCCUAAACUACAGACAUUAUAUUUGAAGAAUAAUACAAUCAAGAAAAUCGAUCGCCUAAUCUUCCACAAACUUACCAGUUUAGAGUUAUUAACAUUCGAGCAUAAUAAGAUCGAGAAAGUCGAACGUGGAACCUUCCAAGAUCUUAUCAAUUUACAGAAACUGUAAGUUCAAU